AUACGGAGGAUCCGAGCGUUAUCCGGAUUUAUUGGGUUUAAAGGGAGCGUAGGCGGGAGAUCAAGUCAGCUGUGAAAUGUAGAUGCUCAACAUCUGCACUGCAGUUGAAACUGGUUUUCUUGAGUGCGUAAUCGGCAGGCGGAAUUCGUCGGGUAGCGGUGAAAUGCUUAGAUAUGACGAAGAACACCGAUCGCGAAGGCAGCCUGCCGGGCCGCGACUGACGCUGAAGCUCGAAGGUGCGGGUAUCGAACAGGAUUAGAUACCCUGGUAGUCCGCACAGCAAACGAUGGAUACUCGCUGUCGGCGAUAUACGGUCGGUGGCCAAGCGAAAGCGUUAAGUAUCCCACCUGGGGAGUACGCCGGCAACGGUGAAACUCAAAUGAAUUGACGGGG
rnacentral:rRNA from 1 species